rnacentral:rRNA from 1 species
GCUCUCGGGCAGGACUAGACUGCUAGUCGAGCGCGUCAGCCAAUACGACGCGCGGCACACAGCUCAGUAACACGUGGCUAAUCUGCCCUUAGGACGAGGACAACCCCGGGAAACUGGGGCUAAUUCUCGAUAGGCGAAGAACACUGGAAUGUGUCUUCACCCAAACAGUACGGCGUUAUGCUCGUUGCACCGCCUAAGGAUGAGGCCGCGGCCGAUCAGGUUGUUGGUGAGGUAAUGGCUCACCAAGCCUUUUACCGGUGCGGGCCGUGGGAGCGGGAGCCCGGAGAUGGGUACUGAGACAAGGACCCAGGCCCUACGGGGCGCAGCAGUCGCGAAAACUUUGCAAUAGGCGAAAGCCUGACAGGGCUAUCCCGAGUGCCAUCCGCUGAGGAAGGCUUUUACCCAGUCUAGAACGCUGGGGGAAUAAGGAGAGGGCAAGUCUGGUGUCAGCCGCCGCGGUAAUACCAGCUCUCCGAGUGGUGUGGAUGUUUAUUGGGCCUAAAGCAUCCGUAGCUGGCUAAGUUAGUCCCUUGUUAAAUCCACCGAAUUAAUCGUUGGAUCGCGGGGGAUACUGCUUGGCUAGGGGACGAGAGAGGCAGACGGUAUUUUCGGGGUAGGGGUGAAAUCCUAUAAUCCCGGGAAGACCACCAGUGGCGAAGGCUGUCUGCUAGAACGCGCCCGACGGUGAGGGAUGAAAGCUGGGGGAGCGAACCGGAUUAGAUACCCGGGUAGUCCCAGCUGUAAACGAUGCAGACUAGGUGUUUGGACGGCCACGUGCCGUUCUAGUGCCGCAGGGAAGCUGUUAAGUCUGCCGCCUGGGGAGUACGAUCGCAAGAUUGAAACUUAAAGGAAUUGGCGGGGGAGCACCACAAGGGGUGAAGCUUGCGGUUUAAUUGGAGUCAACGCCGGG